rnacentral:rRNA from 1 species
UACGGAGGGUGCAAGCGUUUAUCCGGAUUCACUGGGUUUAAAGGGUGCGUAGGCGGGCAGGUAAGUCCGUGGUGAAAUCUCUGAGCUUAACUCAGAAACUGCCAUGGAUACUAUUUGUCUUGAAUGUUGUGGAGGUAAGCGGAAUAUGUCAUGUAGCGGUGAAAUGCUUAGAUAUGACAUAGAACACCAAAUUGCGAAGGCAGCUUACUACACAAAUAUUGACGCUGAGGCACGAAAAGCGUGGGGGAUCAAAACAGG